AUUGAACGCUGGCGGCAUGCUUUACACAUGCAAGUCGAACGGCAGCGCGGGGCAACCUGGCGGCGAGUGGCGAACGGGUGAGUAAUACAUCGGAACGUACCCAGAAGUGGGGGAUAACGUAGCGAAAGUUACGCUAAUACCGCAUACGUUCUACGGAAGAAAGUGGGGGACCUUCGGGCCUCAUGCUUUUGGAGCGGCCGAUGUCUGAUUAGCUAGUUGGUGAGGUAAAGGCUCACCAAGGCGACGAUCAGUAGCUGGUCUGAGAGGACGACCAGCCACACUGGGACUGAGACACGGCCCAGACUCCUACGGGAGGCAGCAGUGGGGAAUUUUGGACAAUAGGCGCAAGCCUGAUCCAGCAAUGCCGCGUGAGUGAAGAAGGCCUUCGGGUUGUAAAGCUCUUUUGUCAGGGAAGAAACGGCUGAGGAUAAUACCUUCGGCUAAUGACGGUACCUGAAGAAUAAGCACCGGCUAACUACGUG
rnacentral:rRNA from 1 species